rfam:Taeniopygia guttata chromosome 4, whole genome shotgun sequence.
AAAAAGGAGUUUUUAAACUCCACCCUGACAUCCAAAAGAGUUCGAG